CAAUAAAGUGCCAAGUGGCCUUCCCUUGGGAAAAACAUCCCCUUCUCCUAGCCGUUGGUUCGACGACUGGAAGACCUAGCCCCAGCACGGCAUGCCGCACGGCGAUGGCCACACGACCUGACGACCCUCUCCUCUUCCCCGACCUGUCCACGCCAGACAUGAGAAGGCUUCGCGCCGCGCUGAUCUGUUUCCGCCCCAGAUUCGUUCUGGUUCGCGAGCUACGGUAGCCUUGCAACUGGAGGUCAUCGGAGAGGGCCCAGAUCUGAAAGUCAUUGUAAUAGAUUGGAGAAAAACAUAUCAUUGAAUGUAAUUGUAUACACAUCCUUCCAAUCAGCGCCUGUAGAAAAUACGGAAAUGUGAUGCUGCAAAGGUCAUGUUGUCUUGCCAGUUCCAUGAAUGAAAUACCAAGACUGACUUCCAGGAAGUACAAGCUGCCAAUUGAAGUUUUAUCGCACGUCAAGAGACAUUUCCAAACAUAUGUGCAUUGAUGUGAAGGAAAAUGCAGCUGAUAUAAAUGUUGUUUCUCUUGGGGGUGUAAAUAUAUGUAAUGAGUCAUGAACAAAAGGUGGGCUGCAUUCUGGCUCAGGGAAAAUAUCGGCUAUUGCUGAAAAUAGAAGUGCUCCAGCAAAAAACUGCAAAGCAAGGAUGAAAAAGGAUAUAUAUGAAUGCCCCAUGGACCUUGUACAAUUUCGUGCUUAAGAUGUACUGUGAGAAAAGAAUCUUGAUUGGAGCAAGUAAAUGGAAAACCCACACUACCAGUUACAGCUUUUGAAGGGAAACAAUAGCAAAGGCAAUGCAUGCAUCAAAUGAAACACUUGAUGCCAAUGAUGAAUACAUGAUAAUAGUAUGAACAGACAGCAGGAGUGAAGGGCUGAAGGAAGAUGCGUGUAUGCGUACCGAGGGAGGUGCUUAAGCCGCCUACGAGAGACAGAGUGAGAGCAACAGCGACCUUGGGAUCCAUAUGAACAGACUGGCUUUCUGAUGGAGAUGUAUGUGACCUUUAUAUACAGGCCAGGAUGGUGACUAUGACGUUAGGCAGUCAAGGAGCCCCUGUGUGCGCGGCAACCGAUGAUGUGAUUGAAUGGAAAGAAGAGGGAGGGGUGAUCAAGUGGAGCUGCUGGCGCCUGGUUAUAUAUUAGCUUGAACAUCUACCCAGAGAAGUUGAGGGGGGCAAGUUUGGAAUGACUUGGCACAUGCUUGCUUGGCAGCUGCCCUUAAUUCUUGGACUUCCUGGUGGUUGGGGUAUGCCUGCGGGCAAGGUCAUGCUGUGAGGUAACUCUAUGCUAGAUCUCUUGUGUGUAGAUGGGAAGAAAGCUAUUUGGGACUAGGAAUCUUACAAGCUGACUGGCAGAGCCUUGCUAAAACCCGAGGGAUGCAUCUUAUUUUGUUUUUGUAUGGAAUUACAUCAUGUAAGCACUAAAUUUUGAUUUUUCAUCGUAUAAAUUGCGGCACCGUAUUAA